rnacentral:hammerhead_ribozyme from 1 species
UCAUUGCUGAGGAGUUCCACAAUAGGACGAAACAGCCGUCCAAUGC